GGGAGGGAGCGAGGGAGGCAGGAGAACCAGCCCUGCGUGGCGGAGCGGCCAACUUUCCUCCUGCAGCAGGAGCAGCCUCCCAUCCCCUGCUCUCAUUGUCCACCUGGUUCCCUGCUGAUUUUUGGGGAAAGGCUUUCAAAGACCAAGAGAAAGCUUGUGGCGAGGUGAAUUGCAGCAGACCGGUUUGUGAUUGGGAGGUUUCUCUUCAUGUCUAGCAGCAUCACUGAGCGUCUUCUUCAACAGCGCAUAAGCAUGCACAAUCCUCACUGCAUUGGACCAACACAUUUCACAGCUUCUUGGUAAGAACUGUGGGUGGGAAGAAAUCGGGGAGAUUCAUGCUACGUGUCUAGCAAUGGCAACUGACCCUUUCUCUCUGUUUCUAAAGGCACUUUUCAUCCCGCCAGGGAGGAUACAGAUGCACCUCAGUAGGAAAGCUUCUGUGUAGACAGAAGCGCAAAGCACUGCAGUGACAGAGAGCAGCAUGAGGAGAUGUUUGAAAGAGGUAAGGCAGGGGAGGAAGAAAAGUCCAGCUCCCUCGGGUCUGAUGGCUGUUGGAGGCUUGCUGCAGCUGCUUGCUAAUCUAAUUUUAUGCCAGAAAUCUGCCAGGACAAACUGCAUAGCAGGCAGGGACCCCUUCUUGCUUUGGAAACAGGUUUUCUUCCCAGGGCCUCUAAGCAAGGCUCAGCUGUAGCCUGAGCUCCUGAGAAGCUACCAUUCCAAGACCUGAUGAAUAGUAAGAACAAGAAAAAUCCUUGCAAAAAGAAAAAGUGAGAGGCAAGGCCACCUAGAGCAGAGGGAGAGGUGGGAGCAGUGCAGGGCAGCCCAGGCUGGCCUGGGAGCCUUCAUGGGUCCAGCGGUCUCCUGCUGUCUGUGAGGAGCUGGGGAUUUGGGAGCCAUAAAGGCAGAAUGUAAAGAAAAAAUGCCACCCAGAUGCAGAAAUUACUGGAGAUAUACGAACAGCUUUUCUUGAAAUGUGGUGUUUUGCAGAAGUUAAGGAAGGAUGAGACUUCACAGGCAUAUAUCAUUAUAGCUCCAGGGAAAUCAUUUUGUCACUGGUUGCCCUGAUCAGGGCUGGUACAAGGACUUACCCUGACCAAGCAUUUGACCACUGGCUUCAGUGGAAGCACCCUAAGUAACUGCACCUGGUCGGAGAGACACACAGUCCUGAUCGACAGCCUGCUCUUCGCUCUCUGGAUGCUCUGCGCCACCGUUAGCAGUCAGUCUGUGAGAGCCCUUGGAGGCAGAGCUGCUCUGAAAGCCUCCUGGCCAAAACCACCCAGGAGGCAUCACAGCGUUAGGAGCAGGAGAGAGGCUCCAUUGGGAAACCACGUGUCAAAUGCUGCAGGCAGUGACCAUUGCGGUAGCCAUGAGGAUUUGGGGAGCAUCAUUAGCUGGGACAUCUAUUGAUGUGCUGAAAUGCUCAUGGGAGCUGGUGGGAGAAAUGUUAGGCUGUGGUCCUCACUGUCCCAACAAAGUCUGAGGGUCUCGGGUGUGGUGUGUGCUCUGGGAGGCCCAGGACACCCUGAGCAGUAGAGUGGAAAGACAGUGACCUGCGAGUGCAUCCCUGGGCGCUAGGAAGAGCAGCAGCACCACCUAUCACCAGAGAAGGAAGAAGGAGAGAAGACAGACAAAACGCUGCUCCUUCUCACAGUUCCCAGUACAAGAUUGGAGCCCAGACCUUCGAGAUGACCAAAGAGAAACUUCAUUCUUCCAGCAGAAGAAGCUGGCUUCAGUCUUUCCCUGCAACUUUCCUGCUAAAGGCUCCUGCUGGCUCUGUGGAUAGCUCCGUAUAGGUCCAUGAUCUAGCAUCCUUUGCUGCAGAGGAAACAAAACGUCACCUAACGCCUCUGUCAGGAACAGACCCCAGGCCAUGAAAAUAAAAGAGUUCCAAUUCCCACCUUCGGUCUCCUGCUGCAGCUCCCAUGGCAAGGGUGCAGCCUCACUGCUCCUCAGGAUGUCUGCCAAGAGCUUGCGGAGGGUCAGACCUGUUUAAGGCAUGCAAGCAGAUGAUGGGACCUGGCCUCAGGUUUGCCUACCUGGAAAGACCAUGGGAAACUGCUGGGCGUGAUGAGAGAAGAUGCUGAACAUGAAAAAUAGUGAAGUGAGAAGCUGAUGAGGGUUACAGGUAGCGCCAUGAGGAACAGUCAGGUUUCACAGGCAGGCAGGACAACGACACUGAUAUGAAAACUUGUGGAAGUGCAAACUUAAGGAAACAGGCCAGAAGUAUAGGACAUCAUGGUUAGCAAGUAGUGUAAUGAAGGAGAGAUGGCUUCAAUGCUCCUUAAUGAACAGUCCCACAAACAUCUCACUACAUUCACUGAAGGAAUUAAUCCGUCUGGCUGAUAAAUACCCAGUUGCCAGGAAUACUCAUUGAAUUAACUGAUGCCACCUUAAAAUGCAGAGGAGAAUAAAAUUUUAUUUUAUUAAUUUC